CGUUGUCCGGAUUUAUUGGGCGUAAAGCGAGCGCAGGCGGUUUUUUAAGUCUGAUGUGAAAGCCUUCGGCUUAACCGGAGAAGUGCAUCGGAAACUGGGAGACUUGAGUGCAGAAGAGGACGAGUGGAACUCCAUGUGUAGCGGUGGAAUGCGUAGAUAUAUGGAAGAACACCAGUGGCGAAGGCGGCUGUCUAGUCUGUAACUGACGCUGAGGCUCGAAAGCAUGGGGUAGC
rnacentral:rRNA from 1 species